UAUCAUGUUUUGGUUCACAUGACACAAGCCCACGAAGAGGCACCAUGUGGAAAAUGUGUGUCAUACAUUUUUUUCAGGAGAUCCUCUAUCCCCUGUGGGGUACUGGUGGUGUUGCUUUCCUCAACCCUGAUAUAAACUACAGUGACAAGUCAAUGUCUGCAUGUACAAAAUAAUGCUUGAGCAGUUCAAUUACACGUUGUUUCAAGAGAACUGUUUAGUGAAGGAUAUCGGCGAAGAUGGAAAAAUCAAGUCUCCUGGCUCUCCUUUGAUUCGCUUGUCUGAAAGACUCUGCCUCUUCACAAAAAACUCUUCAUCUUGAACCUAUUAAGGAUAUCUGGUACUCCACGUGUAAAACCAACAUACUCUAUCUUGAGAGGAGGAUGACGUCCAAUUUUAACUAUGAC
rnacentral:rRNA from 1 species